CAAGAGAUCUGGGCACUGGGGUGAUACUCCCCAGAUUCGUUGGCAAGACAUGAAUCCGAAUCCUGUUCAUACCAAAACCGUAUCACCCCAGAUUCGUUGGCAAGACAUGAAUCCGAAUCCUGUUCAUACCAAAACCGUUGGCCGAGUCUCCACAGCAGCUGACCGGAAGCGCGGCGCCUGUCCCAUGCGGCACCACUGCAAGGGCGCGCCCCACCCUCACGCCUCAGCCCGCCGCCUUUGUCCCUAGCCACCUCAGAGCUUACAGCCCAGGCCCGAGCGCCUACGCGGUCAUCUUGCGAGCGCCAUCUUGUCCUAUGGCUCCAGGCACGAGAGAACCUGGCUCCCGAAAGCCCAACAAUCAGAAUGACUCUGAUGCUGCAGGAGACGACAUACCGCGCUGAGUUGAUAGAAAGGAUGGUAAGCUGUGUCAAGAUGAAGCUGAGUAUCUCCUUCCCAUCCAGCAGCUGUCAGAAGCUCCUUGACAUGGACAGUGAACACAAAUGGACAGUGAAUAGCUGCAGUUCUUGGGUGCUCUGGGUGAAGAGCAGAAAGGGUUGGGAUACUCUGAGCAGGAUAUUGUGGGAUAAUCUAAGGAAAUAUGAAUAGAGAUGAAGCUGUAGAUCAACACCAGAAGACAUUCAAAGCUCAGCAAUGGCCUCAGAGAAAAAACCACCAAAGCUUUAAGAAGCAUGGAAGAAUUGGAGUCGUGUUUCUAUUAAAAUGGAGAAAUAAAUUAAUUUUAAUUUUGA